CCUACGGGCGGCUGCAGUGAGGAAUAUUGGUCAAUGGGCGCAAGCCUGACCCAGCAACGCCGCGUGAAGGAAGAAGGCUUUCGGGUUGUAAACUUCUUUUCUCAGGGACGAAGCAAGUGACGGUACCUGAGGAAUAAGCCACGGCUAACUACGUGCCAGCAGCCGCGGUAAUACGUAGGUGGCAAGCGUUAUCCGGAUUUACUGGUUGUAAAGGGCGUGUAGGCGGGACUGCAAGUCAGAUGUGAAAACCACGGGCGCAACCUGUGGCCUGCAUUUGAAACUGUAGUUCUUGAGUACUGGAGAGGCAGACGGAAUUCCUGGUGUAGCGGUGAAAUGCGUAGAUAUUAGGAGGAACCCCAGUGGCGAAGGCGGUCUGCUGGACAGCAACUGACGCUGAGGCGCGAAAGCGUGGGGAGCAAACAGGAUUAGAUACCCGUGUAGUC
rnacentral:rRNA from 1 species